AUUGAACGCUGGCGGCAUGCCUUACACAUGCAAGUCGAACGGUAACAGGUCUUCGGAUGCUGACGAGUGGCGAACGGGUGAGUAAUACAUCGGAACGUGCCUAGUAGUGGGGGAUAACUACUCGAAAGAGUGGCUAAUACCGCAUGAGAUCUACGGAUGAAAGCAGGGGAUCGCAAGACCUUGUGCUACUAGAGCGGCCGAUGGCAGCUUAGGUAGUUGGUGGGAUAAAAGCUUACCAAGCCGACGAUCUGUAGCUGGUCUGAGAGGACGAUCAGCCACACUGGGACGGAGACACGGCCCAGACUCCUACGGGAGGCAGCAGUGGGGUAUUUUGGACAAUGGGCGCAAGCCUGAUCCAGCAAUGCCGCGUGUAGGAUGAAGGCCUUCGGGUUGUAAACUGCUUUUGUACGGAACGAAAAGCCCUGGGUUAAUACCCUGGGGUCAUGACGGUACCGUAAGAAUAAGCACCGGCUAACUACGUGCCAGCCGCCGCAGUAAGAC
rnacentral:rRNA from 1 species